AACGAACGCUGGCGGCAGGCUUAACACAUGCAAGUCGAGCGAAGACUUCGGUCUUAGCGGCGGACGGGUGAGUAACGCGUGGGAACAUACCCUUUGCUACGGAACAGUCCCGGGAAACUGGGUUUAAUACCGUAUACGCCCUUCGGGGGAAAGAUUUAUCGGCAAAGGAUUGGCCCGCGUUGGAUUAGGUAGUUGGUGGGGUAAAGGCCUACCAAGCCGACGAUCCAUAGCUGGUUUGAGAGGAUGAUCAGCCACACUGGGACUGAGACACGGCCCAGACUCCUACGGGAGGCAGCAGUGGGGAAUCGUAGACAAGGGGGGCAACCCGGAUCUAGCCAUGCCGCGGGAGGGAUGAAGGCCUUAGGGGUGUAAAGCGCGGUCAGCGGGGAAGAUAAUGACGGUACCAGCAGAAGAAGCCCCGGCUAACUCCGUGCCAGCCGCCGCGGUAACAC
rnacentral:rRNA from 1 species